GUCUGGUUGGUGUAGUUGGUUAUCACGUUAGUCUCACACACUAAAGGUCCCCAGUUCGAGCCUGGGAUCAGACA
rnacentral:tRNA from 1 species